rnacentral:tRNA from 1 species
GUUUUAAUAGUUUUAUAAAAAACGUCGGUCUUGUAAACCGAAAAUAAGAAAAGCCCCACUUUUAAAACU